rnacentral:sRNA from 1 species
UCUCAUUUAAACGACAUGAUCCCUACCUCUAUCAUGUCCUUGCAGCCCCAAAGCUGCGCCAGUGCGAAUAAACUUCAUUAAAACGUG